AAGGGGAAGAAGAAGGAAGAAGGAAGAAAGAAGAAGGAAGAAGAAAGAAGAACAAGAACAAGAAGAAGAACAAGAAGAACAAGAACAAGAAGAACAAGAAAGAGGAGGAGGAGGAUACUGGAGGUUAAACUAGUUGGCUCAAUGAUGCUUUUUAAUGAUCAGUUGGAAGGAGAUUCAGAAGACUUCUGGUACUAUGCUGCCAUUUUAGCUCUGUCCCCAAAAGUUAAAGAAAUCGAGGCCCAACAUA
rnacentral:lncRNA from 1 species